UCUGAGAAAAUAUAGAAGGUCCAGCCUGCCCAGUGACAAAGUUAAACGGCCGCGGUACCCUAACCGUGCGAAGGUAGCGCAAUCACUUGUUCUUUAAAUGAGGACUAGUAUGAACGGCAUCACGAGGAUUAUACUGUCUCCCCCCUUUAAUCAGUGAAACUGAUUCCCCCGUGAAGAAGCGGGGAUAAACCUAUAAGACGAGAAGACCCUAUGGAGCUUUAAACUAACACCACCUGUCUAUAAACACUUCAUAAUAAACAGACAAAGCCUGAGUACUAGUUUUUGGUUGGGGUGACCGCGGAGCAAAAUAAAACCUCCACGAUGAAAAGACUUUUCCUCUUAAUCCGAGAGCAACAUCUCAAAGAAUUGGCAAACCAACACAACUGAUCCAAACAAUACUUUGAUCAACGAAC
rnacentral:rRNA from 1 species